rnacentral:tRNA from 1 species
GCCUGGGUGGCUCAGUUGGUUAAGUAUCUGACUUCAGCUCAAAUCAUAAUUUCACGGUUCAUGGGUUCGAGCCCCAUGUCAGGCU